AUUGUAUAUCUGCCCAGGAGAUGGCCUCUGUAUGCUGGCCUUAAGAGCCUGACAGAUGUCAGCAACGUGAAUACGUGAGGUAUAAUGCCUGGAGAAUCUCAUCUUCUGACCUUUAGACAGAGGCUCUUGCUUGAGAAUAGUGUCAACAGCACUUCUACCAGGACCAUAUAUGCCACCCAAUCUAAAUAUUUGGGCAGAGACCCUUCCAUCACAAGCCAGAUGUAACCAUCCUUCCUCUGCAGCUAUCCUUGCUUUGGCCAAUUCAGUCGUCGAGCUAGGUGGAAACUCUUCAUCAACCAAUGCACCACCAGAGUCUCCAUAAACACCUGUUGAUGACAAGUAACCAAGCCACUGGAG
rnacentral:misc_RNA from 1 species